GACGAACGCUGGCGGCGUGCUUAACACAUGCAAGUCGAACGGAAAGGCCCUGCUUUUGUGGGGUGCUCGAGUGGCGAACGGGUGAGUAACACGUGAGUAACCUGCCCUUGACUUUGGGAUAACUUCAGGAAACUGGGGCUAAUACCGGAUAGGAGCUCCUGCUGCAUGGUGGGGGUUGGAAAGUUUCGGCGGUUUGGGAUGGACUCGCGGCUUAUCAGCUUGUUGGUGGGGUAGUGGCUUACCAAGGCUUUGACGGGUAGCCGGCCUGAGAGGGUGACCGGCCACCUUGGGACUGCGAUACGGCCCAGACGCCUACGGGAGGCAGCAGUGGGGAAUAUUGCACAAUGGGCGGAAGCCUGAUGCAGCAACGCCGCGUGCGGGAUGACGUCCUUCGGGUUGUAAACCGCUUUCGCCUGUGACGAAGCGUGAGUGACGGUAAUGUGUAAAGAAGCACCGGCUAACUACGUG
rnacentral:rRNA from 1 species